AUCGCAUCUGCCGUAGAUGGAAAUGGGAAGCAGACAGAUCUGGUCUUCUCUCAGGAUCAUAAUCACAAACAGACAUGAUUGAGAUUCUGUGUGGUAGGAAGAAAAACUUAACUGUCUGCUGUCUUCCAAACAGCUGGAGCUUGUGCACUUGCCUGACGCCUUGGUCUCCAGGGGACUCAUUCAGAGCUGUCUCAGUCCAACCCUGCAUGACUUGACUCAUCUUUAGCAUCUUUUCUAUGAUGAACUAUUAUUACCUUGUGUUAGAGUUAGAAUUUAGGACUAGAAACUAAUCCACAGAGCAUGUCCCUCCACUGGAGCAUUCUCUGGAACUAACAAAAGCAAACGGAAGAACUGAAUUUAGGACACAAAAGAAUGAUAAGGUUACAAAGUAACAGGCAGAAGACUUGAGUUUCUUAGUACAGAUUCUUAUUUUAACCCUCUCAAAUCCUGAUCUCCCCAGCAACUAAAAAGGAAACGUUUCUUUGUCAAGGCCUCUUUGAACCUGACUGGGAGUUCAGCCUCAUUACCCUUUGGGAUUCAUCAGACUUGAAAAAUUAUUUAUCGCCAACUACCCUCCCCCUUCACACACACACACACACACACACACACACACACACACACACACGUGUGCCAACAAGUCCACGUAACCAUUUACAAGAUUUAAUUGUGACAAUUAAAAUUGUGUUGGACUGCAGAUACAGCUCAGUGUCCAACAUUUGCUUAGCAACUAGAGAGAGGCCCUGGCUUACAUCCCUACAACUGGGGGUGGAAGGGUCAGUUAUAAAUGCUGAAUUAAAAGAAUGUCUUAGCGAGACAGUGUGUGACACUUGUAUUAAUUUCAGUUCAUUGGUUUAAAAAAAAUCUAACUUUGUCACUGCAAAAUGUGCUGCCACAUCUUCCAAGAGGGUCAAGAAUUCUCGACUUUGUCUAUUCUCAGUCACCUCAAAUUCUGUCUUCAAAGUAGUGAUUUGGAAUCCAGCCAUCUUUUGUUUUCGACAAACAAGCAAAACUAUGUUGCAAGAUGGAUAGUUGCAAUGUUUCUUUGCUGCAGAUCAAAGGUUCACAAAUAGAUUCAAUUUACAGGUACGUGAGGUACCUCGAUAGAUUCCCCCAGAAACACCUUGGAUUGUUUUCCCUUCAGAAAUUUUAAGCUUUGGCGUCAGGGUUUUUUGGUUUGGGUUCUAGUUUUAGAGGGUUGUUUUUGGUUUCU
rnacentral:lncRNA from 1 species